UACACAUGCAAGUCGAGCGAGAUCUUCGGAUCUAGCGGCGGACGGGUUAGUAACUUGGGAACGUGCCUCUCUCUACGGAAUAGUCCCGGGAAACUGGGUUUAAUACCGUAUACGCCCUUCGGGGGAAAGAUUUAUCGGAGAGAGAUCGGCCCGCGUUAGAUUAGAUAGUUGGUGGGGUAAUGGCCUACCAAGUCUACGAUCUAUAGCUGGUUUGAGAGGAUGAUCAGCAACACUGGGACUGAGACACGGCCCAGACUCCUACGGGAGGCAGCAGUGGGGAAUCUUAGACAAUGGGCGCAAGCCUGAUCUAGCCAUGCCGCGUGUGUGAUGAAGGCCUUAGGGUCGUAAAGCACUUUCGCCUGUGAAGAUAAUGACUGUAGCAGGUAAAGAAACCCCGGCUAACUCCGUGCCAGCAGCCGCGGUAAUACGGAGGGGGUUAGCGUUGUUCGGAAUUACUGGGCGUAAAGCGCGCGUAGGCGGGCUGGAAAGUUGGGGGUGAAAUCCCGGGGCUCAACCCCGGAACUGCCUCCAAAACUCCCAGCCUAGAGGUCGAGAGAGGUGAGUGGAAUUCCGAGUGUAGAGGUGAAAUUCGUAGAUAUUCGGAGGAACACCAGUGGCGAAGGCGGCUCACUGGCUCGAUACUGACG
rnacentral:rRNA from 1 species